UGAAACAGCAGCGCUCAAUUAAGUACGAGUCAACUCUGAAGGCAGCAAAUUGUUACGGUUCACAGCUAUCGACUUUACUACUACCCCGGUCGCCGUUGCUCAAAAUUGAUGAUCAGUUAAGAUUCUACAUACAAUAACCAAUCAACAGGUCAUUGGUCAGCUUGUUUUUGUUGCUUCGGCUGUUGUCAUCGUUUUCUCCCUCUUAUAAAAUAGUCCGUUCAGUUCAAGCACAUUGCGGACCCCCGAAUACGCCCUGGGGGAAGUUUCCGCUAAUGUGCUAAUCGACCGACAAAUCAAAUAGCAGCCUACAAUGCAAAAACAACCAUUCCAUUAAGCUUAUCGAGAUGAAAUGGUUAAAAUCGGAAACUGACAAAUGGCCGAAAUCCAUUCCAAACAAGUGCCGCAACACUCGAUCUGGAUCUUUCGUAGCAGUGCUAUGUCCAAAUCAUGUCAGCAUGCUCCUGUGUUAAACCGUAACGCGUGUAUUUCGGGUGUUCGACCGUUGGAUUACAUGAUGACUGUAACAGGCACCUUAUGGCCUGCAAAAUGAUGUUUACUUCAGCUGAAACAAGGUAUCACUUUCUAUAUGGAACCAAUCUAAAUUGGGCCAAGAGUCUUUGGAUAGCUAACCGGUUGGGGUUGUACAGAGACUUUCGGCCUAUCCCGUAUCAAGAUUCUACCAACAUAUACUGUGAGCCAGCUGCUUGGCUGUGAUUGUAGCGGAUACCGUAGAAAUAUAAGGUACAUACUCUAUAAAUCAACUUAUUCCAGCUUUUUCUUGCAACUUUUAACUUGAGCUAAUGCCACAUUGUGACACCGCAUGAGAUGUUAUACGCAAACAUGAACGCUUGAAGUCUCUUUUGGCAGACACAUGAAACGAAAAGGUAAAUCACAAAUAACUAACAAUGAGAGGGUCUGCCAACCACAAUUCUUUCAUUUGGCUAAUUAUUAUCGAUGUUAUUUUAUUGAUUACUGGCGUUUCCGGUAGCACCGGUAACGAGAUUAGUAUCGUAGAUGUAUAGAUCCCGAACUAUACAUCUACUACAAAACGUACUUCUUCAAAGAGACGCUUUGUUCAGUUAGAAGGUGGGGGCUACUAGUCAGUUACAUAUGUAUUUGAAAGAUACUGUUUCUGUACUUGUGUUUGUUCCUAUGUUCGUGUACAUAAAUAUCCGACGCAGUAUCAGAGGCGAAGUAAUGUAUCCCGCAGAAACAAAUAACAAUCGUUAAGCUGACAUGUGAUGAAGAUCAGGUGCACGGAACGUGAUAGGCCCAUACGGAGGAUCUUAGGCAAAACAUCUAUACGUAUGUGGUAGCAGUGGAUGAUACAAUGUAUUGUUAAACUGGUCUAUCACUUACAAUCUUCGAAGCUAACCAAGAAGCUUGGCUAAUAGCGAGUAAUAGCGUGGCGUUAUAAUUACCAUAUAUAUUCGUAUGUCCUAUUAGGGCAACGUUAUUUUGUUUCGAGCUGCAUGUACCGUUAGCGUUAAAGUUAUUCCAAGGAAACAGUGAAGUUAAUAAAUCAGCUAGCUGUCCUAUCAACGAAACGUGUUCCGUCGAUACAAACAAAAUACGACGCUGUGAUCUGUUUCAUAGAAUCUGCUGUCAUCAUCAUCGUCCGUUAUCACUAGCAAUAGAUAAACAAUCGAUGAUAAAGCUUCAAUGGGACCGUGGGACCUCGGCAUUUAUUUUGGCAUUAAAAGUCGACAUUUACCGUAAAAUACUAACUAAAUAAAUAGCACUUCAUGUAACGGUGUGAUAAGUAUACUACUUUGAUUGAAAAAGCUUAUUUUUAUUAUCAA